rnacentral:rRNA from 1 species
AUACGGAGGGAGCAAGCGUUAUUCGGAAUCACAGGGCGUAAAGAGUACGUAGGCGGUUUGGUAAGUCAGGUGUGAAAUCCCGGAGCUCAACUCCGGAACUGCAUCCGAUACUGCCAGACUUGAGUAAUGGAGAGGCAGGUGGAAUUCUCGGUGUAGCAGUGAAAUGCGUGGAUAUCGAGAGGAAGACCAAUGGCGAAGGCAGCCUGCUGGACAUUUACUGACGCUGAGGUACGAAGGCUAGGGGAGCGAAAGGGAUUAGAAACCCCAGUAGUCC